GGGGACACGGAACUGGUGGGAUCGCACCAUGGCCUGGGCCCCUCUGCUCCUUGCGGUGCUCGCCCACAGCUCAGGUUCCCUGGUCCAGGCAGCGCUGACUCAGCCGCCCUCGGUGUCGGCGAAGCUGGGAGAGACCGUCAAGAUCACCUGCUCUGGUGGUGGUGACAGGAGAAGCAAUUAUGCUGGCUGGAUCCAGCAGAAGGUGCCUGGUCAUGCCCCUGUCACUGUGAUCUAUGCUAACGACAAGAGACCCUCGGACAUCCCUUCACGAUUCUCCGGAUCCAAGUCUGGCUCCACGGCCACGUUAACCAUCACUGGGGUCCAAGCCGAGGACGAGGCUGUCUAUUUCUGUGGUAGCUGGGACAGCAGCAGUAGUGCUGGUGUGUUGUCUCAGAGAGUUGGAGAAAUGCUCACCAGCACUGCUGUCGUAGCUACCACAGAAAUAGACAGCCUCGUCCUCGGCUUGGACCCCAGUGAUGGUUAA